AUAAGUAAUUUUCCCCCCUCUAAAAGUAGUCAACUUUUCUAUGCACCUUUCAGUCUUUAAAAUUGUUGGCAUUGAAAACUUCAGAGCACAACCAACCAAUAUAUUGGACACAGGAUCCAAAUCAGCCGUCUGCCGAUUAGCAUAAGCUGUCAGACGACUGUAACAAGAUAGCCAUCGACCAGUCAGCUAGUGUUGAAUAUCCAGCUAGCUCUACUUCAUUCAGUACAAUAAAAACCUCCAUACUACAGUUCGAGGAGACCAGUCGAGGUAUGACCUCCAGGAAGUUUGGAAAUAUUUUCAUGGGCGGAUCAUCCAGGAGAGGCAGGGGGGUGUCUGGGGCCGCCUUUAGGCCCCUGAGUAGUGGGUCCAGGGCAAAGCCCUGGUGGGGGCCAGGGGUGAUACCCCCGGAAGCUCCUGGAUUUUACAGAAUUUAUAUAGGGAUUAUAAUACGUCUCCUAUAUAGUCAUUUUUACUAUUUCCUGUCAUUUUUAAUAAAGUGAAAUUAAUAAAAUGACGCAAAAUUCAAGGGUUUUUGGAAAAAAUGUAAGUUCUCCCAAUAAAAGUCAUUCAGUAAA